UACGAAGGGGGGCUAGCGUUGCUCGGAAUCACUGGGCGUAAAGCGCACGUAGGCGGACUCUUUAAGUCAGAGGUGAAAUCCUGGAGCUCAACUCCAGAACUGCCUUUGAUACUGAGAGGCUUGAGUCCGGGAGAGGUGAGUGGAACUGCGAAGUGUAGAGGUGAAAUUCGUAGAUAUUCGCAAGAACACCAGUGGCGAAGGCGGCUCACUGGCCCGGUACGUGACGCUGAGGUGCGAAAGCGUGGGGAGCAAACAGG
rnacentral:rRNA from 1 species